ACAUCUUGCUCAAGCAAAGCAUCGUCUUUCGUUGCUUGCUUUGUCUCCAUGCCACUUCAAGGUAAGAAAAAUUAAUUUUUCUUGUCUUCUUAAUUUUUUGGGAGUCUUAGGGCUUGAAAUUUGGCUCAACGGGGGUCGAAGACGUGCAAUAGGUGGCUAGGAAGCCACAACUGGGUCUGGGUGCUUCGGCACUAUGAUGCCGUGCUUGGGCUGGUACUCGGGCCACUGUUGAUAGGCCAGGAAGACGCGGCCCUUUUUUUUUUUUUUUUUUUUCAAAGCCUGGGCUCGGGCUCGUGCCUGGGGAAGAGAAGCAAGAAGACCAAAAGGCCUUUGGGUCGUGGAAAAGAGAGGAGCCAACGUGGGCUAGGCUCGGGCCCGUGCUUGAGGGAGAAAGGAAAGAGAGAGGCUGAUAACCCCUUUUGGGGCGAAAGGCUUGUUGUGCAGUGUCCUUUUUUUUUUUUUUUUUUUUGGUUGGUACAACCGUCUAACGAAUCUUCUUUGCAUUUUUGUAGAAUUUCUUCGAACAGGUCUUCCUCGUGCCACAAGAAUGAUGAUGGGUGUUGCCAUUGUAUCGCCAAGGUAAGUAUUUGAGCAAGGUUGGCUAUGUCAAGCCUGCUCACUUCAAGAUUGGUUUCGAUGACUUGUUUAAAGGCUUCCUUGAGGCGUAUAGGCAUGCUAUUCCGUCAAGAGUGCAUGUGAAGCGUGCCAAGGAUAAUAGCAGUCGUGAGCCAUGUGGUAGGGCUUGGAGGGCCAUCAAGUUCUUCGAAUGUGGUCCGUGUGAUGGUGAAAUUCCUCAAUCUAAGCCAAUUCUUUGACUUAGAUCUAACCGUUAACGAAUUUUGGUACUUCUUUGACGUUGGCCACAUCGAGGGAGUUGGGUAGCUGGGAUCUCGCCAUAGGCUUUUCGAUCAUUUGAGCAAGGGAGAUCAUGACUGGGCCAAUGAGACUUUGGAGAUAAGUGGAGAAUGGGAGUUUGAUUCUUUCCUUGAGUUGCAUGAUCCAACAGUCUUUGUAUCCGAUUCGAAAUUUGGCUCAACUUCUAAGACUUUUCCAAACAUGAAGAAAGUGCAUGUCGCUAUGGGUAUCCCUUCCGAGUACCAUGAGUGGCGUUGGCUACUUAGUCCUCUUUGUAGGGAGUUGCCCCCAAGAGAAGAGAUAAAGGGAUCAAUGCGGAGGCAUUGGCUCACUUGAUCGCCAUUGCGGAGCCCGCUGUGAGUGAAAGUGGGAAGAAGAGACAAUCCCCACCUACUCAAAAGACUUAUGCUGAGAAAAAGCCAAAGACUUUUUCCGUUUCUCGCGAGGGUUCGCCGGUUGCUCCUAAGCUUAUGAUUGACUUAACUUUUCCCAAGGGUGAGAAUGAUGAAGUUGCUAGAUCUAUACUGGUGAUGCCUGCAGUUCCAAAGGUGAUUUGUUCAAUUGCUGAUAGGAUUGCUCAGCAUAGAAGUUUCUCCGUGCCUCGAGUGCCAAAAUGUCCAUCUGGGACAAUGUCUAGUUCACCUUUGGAGAGGCUUGCUACUAUGAAGAAUGACAAGGUUCAUUCGCUUGCUAAAAUGGUGCCAAAAUUCUUUCCCUUUGCUGUCGAAACCGACUCGUCUGCUUAAAAGAAGAAGACUGCUCAUGUGGCCAUCUAUGAGAAAUCCACCAAGUCUGUUUCUAGGGAAGUUGCUAAGAUUUGUACGCUUUUGAGGCCAAAUUUUCUCCAGGACAUAGAUGUGUGUGACAAAUUUGCUGAUGACAUCAAAGGGGUUGUUGGCUCGAUUUCCUUUGCAAAACAUACGAUUGAGUAUAGGAGGACUACUCUGCUGGCUUUGAUGCAAAAAAUGACAAAUCUAUAUUCCUUGAUCAAGAGGAUACCAAGGCUGCCAAGGAGGUGGCAAGAACUAUGGCAGCUAAAGCUUACUCCUCGGCUAAGAAAGUCAACAAGUUGGAAUCUGAGCUUGCUACUUUAAAUGAGUCUAAUAUUCCUGCCCUCACUUCUCUGCAGCUUGAGAUUGUUUGCCAAAAGAUCAUGAAUUUGAAGACUAGGCUUGACGCAAUCCAAGUAAAGUAUGAAAGUGAAGGGAAAGAGAUCGGGUGUUACAUACCUUAUAUUCAAAACCUUGAUUGUGUUAUCUUUGAGCUUUUCUAUGCUGCUUACACAAAGGAUGAAGAACUGAUCGCUGCUGACAACCAAGUGAUCUACUUCAAGAAGGUUGUUGAUAGGCCUGAACGUUAAGUGUUGGAACUUCAAGGUGCUUUAAAGAUCAACGAUCGUCUGAAGAAAGAAGUGGAGGAGCUGCAGCGGGUCCGUGCUUGUCUGCAUGAAGAUAAUGAGCAAUUGAAGGUGAGAAGGUUGGGUUUGUAGAUUUCUACAAGCUUACUUAAAGUAAAGCCGAUUUCUACAAGUUGGGUUAUGUAGACCAUCUUUUUGGGUGGUCGUCUGACUUUGAGUUUUCUGGUAAAGACUUCGAGACCUUCUCUAUUUCUCCGGAAUACUUGCUCGGCUUUACUUUUGAGUCUUCUAUUGGUGAAGUAGUUGGAGAGGUUGGUGCCCAGGCUGGGGCAGCUGGAGGUGAAGUGUCAGAUAGUGCUGCUACUGAGAACAUCGGGGCUGCUGAAGGUAUGGCGACUGAGUAGUCGUGGGAUGUCUAAGUUGCUGAAGAGUAGUCUUCUAAUUAGCCUUUAGGAUUUUCUUUGCUUUCCUUGUUGCUUUUGUUUUUUCUUGAACUCUUUCGGUCUUUUGCUAGUUGUUUAUCAGUUUUGCUAGAAAAUUUAAUAAACUUGUUUCCUUCA